AAUCUUGCACAAUGGGGGAAACCCUGAUGCAGCGACGCCGCGUGAGUGAAGAAGUAUUUCGGUAUGUAAAGCUCUAUCAGCAGGGACGAUAAUGACGGUACCUGACUAAGAAGCCCCGGCUAACUACGUGCCAGCAGCCGCGGUAAUACGUAGGGGGCAAGCGUUAUCCGGAUUUACUGGGUGUAAAGGGAGUGUAGGUGGCGAAGUAAGUUGGAUGUGAAAUUCCGGGGCUUAACCCUGGGCAUGCAUUCAAAACUGCUUUGCUAGAGUGCAGGAGAGGUAAGUGGAAUUCCUAGUGUAGCGGUGAAAUGCGUAGAUAUUAGGAGGAACACCAGUGGCGAAGGCGACUUACUGGACUGUAACUGACACUGAGGCUCGAAAGCGUGGGGAGCAAACA
rnacentral:rRNA from 1 species